CCUACGGGAGGCAGCAGUGAGGAAUAUUGGUCAAUGGACGAGAGUCUGACCCAGCCAAGUAGCGUGAAGGAUGACUGCCCUAUGGGUUGUAAACUUCUUUUAUAUGGGAAUAAAAUGUUCCACGUGUGGGAUUUUGUAUGUACCAUAUGAAUAAGGACCGGCUAACUUCGUGCCAGUAGCCGCGGCAAUAAGGAGGAGCUGAGCGUUAUCCGGAUUUAUUGGGUUUAAAGUGACCGUAGGUGGAUUGUUAAGUCAGUUGGGAAAGUUUGGGGUUCAACCGUAAGAAUGCAGUUGAAACUGGCAGUCUUGAGUACAGUAGAGGUGGGCAGAAUGCGUGGUGUAGCGGUGAAAUGCAUAGAUAUCACGCAGAACUCCGAUUGCGAAGGCAGCAUACCGGCGCCCUACUGACGCUGAGGCACGAAAGCGUGGGUAUCGAACAGGAUUAGAUACCCUUGUAGUC
rnacentral:rRNA from 1 species